rnacentral:rRNA from 1 species
UACGUAGGGUCCGAGCGUUGUCCGGAAUUACUGGGCGUAAAGAGCUCGUAGGUGGUUUGUCACGUUGUUCGUGAAAACCCACAGCUCAACUGUGGGCGUGCGAGCGAUACGGGCAGACUAGAGUUCGGCAGGGGAGACUGGAAUUCCUGGUGUAGCGGUGAAAUGCGCAGAUAUCAGGAGGAACACCGGUGGCGAAGGCGGGUCUCUGGGCCGAUACUGACGCUGAGGAGCGAAAGCGUGGGGAGCGAACAGG